rnacentral:rRNA from 1 species
UACGUAGGGUGCGAGCGUUGUCCGGAUUUAUUGGGCGUAAAGAGCUCGUAGGCGGUUUGUCGCGUCGGCCGUGAAAUCUCCACGCUUAACGUGGAGCGUGCGGUCGAUACGGGCAGACUUGAGUUCGGUAGGGGAGACUGGAAUUCCUGGUGUAGCGGUGAAAUGCGCAGAUAUCAGGAGGAACACCGGUGGCGAAGGCGGCAUCCUGGACCAAUACUGACGCUGAGGAGCGAAAGCCAGGGGAGCAAACGGG